rnacentral:rRNA from 1 species
UUUAUUGGAGAGUUUGAUCCUGGCUCAGGAUGAACGCUGGCGGCGUGCCUAAUACAUGCAAGUCGAGCGAAUGGAUUAAGAGCUUGCUCUUAUGAAGUUAGCGGCGGACGGGUGAGUAACACGUGGGUAACCUGCCCAUAAGACUGGGAUAACUCCGGGAAACCGGGGCUAAUACCGGAUAAUAUUUUGAACCGCAUGGUUCGGAAUUGAAAGGCGGCUUCGGCUGUCACUUAUGGAUGGACCCGCGUCGCAUUAGCUAGUUGGUGAGGUAACGGCUCACCAAGGCA